rnacentral:lncRNA from 1 species
GACACAUUGUGGCCUCCAAGAAAAGCACCUAGAGCAGCUCUGCAAGGCUCUGGGAGGAAGCUGCCACCUCGGUCACCUCCACCUCGACUUCUCAGGCAAUGCUCUGGGGGAUGAAGGUGCAGCCCGGCUGGCUCAGCUGCUCCCAGGGCUGGGAGCUCUGCAGUCCUUGAACCUCAGUGAGAACGGUUUGUCCCUGGAUGCCGUGUUGGGUUUGGUUCGGUGCUUCUCCACUCUGCAGUGGCUCUUCCGCUUGGACAUCAGGUGAGCGUGCCUCUCCGCCCCCAGCCCUGCCCCUGUCCCCCAUCCCACAGGUCAUCUGCUCCCACGUGGGCCCCUUGUCCACCAGUUUCAUGCCAACCUGUCAUCCUCAGCACCUUGGGCAGUACCAGAUCUGCAGAGCAUGUGAUGGGCGUCCACUGAAUGAAUGAAUGAUCAAAUGAAUGAAUAAGUAUGGCCUCACGGAUG